rnacentral:lncRNA from 1 species
GUAAGAUAAAUAAUGAGGAAGACUCACUGGCUUUGACUUGAUCAUUCAAAUUUAUGUGUCAUUGGAGCUGUAUUCUCUAUUAUGACCCAACAAACUGAUUAAAUAUCAGCCAAGCAUGAACAAUAGCUUGCAGCUCUAAUUCCUCCUUCCCAUCCCACCUCUGAAAGCCUUUAAACCCUGGAAUGUAAAUGCAAUUUUUUUUUUCCUGGCAUUAAAAAAAACAUGAAAAAAUUGUAUUUUUGACUCUGUUGUCUACUGUUGCUGACAAUGUUCAAACCACUUGGGCCUUAUUUCUUGUCUGAGAUCAGUGAUCUAUGGGGAAAGGUGUUUCCUAGUUGGGCAAAGGAAUCAUGGGGUCAGAGGCUUCUUCCUCUUCCCCUGAACUGCUCAGUUCAAUUCAACCAACAUCGCUGAGCACCUACUCUAUGUCAAGCCCAGACCUAGACCUAAGGCCCUAAAGAGAAUUCCAUAGGGAAAGAAAAACAACUGUUGCUGAACACAUGCCUUACUCUUUGGAGUCCCCACAGUACCCUCUGCAGCUGCACACCUAAUAGAAUGCACAGUGUUGAAAUGCCCUUUCCUGAGUGCUUCAGGGAUAGAGGAUGUGCCUUAUUCAUCUUUGCAUCCCUGCUGGGCCAGCUCAGAGCCUAGCAUACAAUAGACACUCAACAAAUGUUUGGUGGAUUUUAACGAAUUGCCUGAAAUUUUAUAUACCUUACUGAGUCCUCACAGCCAACCAGAAAGUGACUCUUUAUUCUACCCAGCCCUCAUCACAACUAAACUUGAGGGUUUCUAAGUCUCUUCUCAAGAAUAUAAGCAUCUGAAAGCAGGAGCCAUUUACCAUUCAUUCACGGGUUCUCAGGAAACUUUUGUUGGAUGAAUGGCCAUGUCUUUUUCAGUGGUUCCUCUUCUAUCUAGGACUAGUUUCCUACUGUUUGGGUUCCCUCAGGAGCUAACCCUAAAAAAAGGAUUCAAAUGCAAGUAGCAUCUGAGAGUAAACUACUUAUAGGCAAAGGAGUGGGGAUGUGAGAUAGGGAAGGGAAGGCCCCUAAGAAUGGGUGUGUUGCAGAAUUGUGCCAUCAGAUGGUGGGCGGGGGAGCUGGGGUAUUUAUAUGCCUGCCCAUCAGUUAUUUGUUGGGGGCUGCUUCCAGGGGGUGUUCAUACCUUUUCACUUCUGAUCUGCUCCAUGUAUGGGCAAAGCUGCCUUUAGAGGCCAGAAAGAGCUUCAGGAGAAGAAAGUAGACUUGGAAGUUGGGCUGGCUGUACUGAAAUGGUCAUAGGGUAUAAAUGGGGUGCCCACUGCCACAGCUGCAGGUGAGUAAUUGUGAUCACAUGAUGAUGUGGGAUGCCUCCAGAACAUUCAAAGGGAAAGUGAGACACUCAUAGGUCUGGAGGUUAGAUAAGAGGACAUCAGAGAUUCCUUACAGUACUAACAUUCUAGAAUGCCAUGACUUCAGCAUACUGGCUUUUAAAGUACAAAUCACCUUCAGAAGAAAAUCCCUUUGUCUUUGGGUUGAGCAAGUAAAAGACCCAGGGAGAGCAACCUUGGAAGAUGUUAUAAAGAUACCAUUUUGCAGAUGAUGAAACUGAGGUUCAGAGAGGCCCAAUAGUCGACACAAAACCAAGGUGGGAAUGUGAAUCUGUUUUUCAUUCCGUGACCCUGUGGUGCCCUUCUCUACAGCUGUUCAUCCACAGACCUUCAAAGGAUGUGCCACCAGUCUCAGCUAUGCAGUAAACAGUCCCGGCAAAGGAUCUUUGUGCAGAUUUGUGAUUAAAGGCAAACAAGAUAAUGAGUCCCAGGACCAGGGGAGAGCAGUCCGCACUCUCAUGCAUUCCUCAAUUCACAUGGCCCUGGAAACCUUUCAGUGUGGCAGUGGCUGUGGCAAUCACUCUGCCAACUGCAGAAUAAAGGGUCCUGUCUGGAAAUGCAAUUAUUUCCAAAUAAAAGGUUUUUAAAAGACACACACGAUAGCAUUUUUGGUUUUCAGAAACUGAUAUACCAAAUAAGGACAAAAAUUAACUUUGUAAAAAAUGAAGAUGAUGAAGACAAUGAAGAGAUGGUGAUGAUGAUGAUGGAUGAAGAUUGUGGUGAUAAGCAUGAUGAAUAUAUUGAGAAGGUGAAGAUGAUGAAGAUGAAGAUGGUGAUGAUGAUGGUAGCAGCAACCACCAUUUUCUGAGCACAUAAAUGUGCCACUCACUAUGUUGGCUACUCUAUAGACAUUAUCUCUAAUUAUUACAAUAACCCUGUAAGACAAAGUUUAGCACCUCCAUUUAACACAUGAGAAACUGAAGCUCAGAGAAGUGAAGUAACCUGCCUGAGGUCACAACCUUAGGCAUGAAAAAGGAUUGACAGAGAUUACUGCUUGAAUUAUUACUCCAAAUCCUGUGCCUCUAACCACUAACAUAACCACUUCAUUUGUUUACUC